rnacentral:rRNA from 1 species
UACGAAGGGGGCUAGCGUUGUUCGGAAUUACUGGGCGUAAAGGGCGCGUAGGCGGUGUGUCAAGUCAGGCGUGAAAUCCCGGGGCUCAACCCCGGAACUGCCUUUGAUACUGGUAGUCUCGAGUCCGGAAGAGGUGAGUGGAAUUCCUGGUGUAGCGGUGGAAUGCGCAGAUAUCAGGAGGAACACCGAUGGCGAAGGCAGGUCUCUGGGCCACUACUGACGCUGAGAAGCGAAAGCAUGGGGAGCGAACAGG